rnacentral:rRNA from 1 species
AUCUUCGGCAAUGGGGGCAACCCUGACCGAGCAACGCCGCGUGAGUGAAGAAGGUUUUCGGAUCGUAAAGCUCUGUUGUAAGAGAAGAACGUGUGUGAGAGUGGAAAGUUCACACAGUGACGGUAACUUACCAGAAAGGGACGGCUAACUACGUGCCAGCAGCAGCGGUAAUACGUAGGUCCCGAGCGUUGUCCGGAUUUAUUGGGCGUAAAGCGAGCGCAGGCGGUUUAAUAAGUCUGAAGUUAAAGGCAGUGGCUUAACCAUUGUUCGCUUUGGAAACUGUUAGACUUGAGUGCAGAAGGGGAGAGUGGAAUUCCAUGUGUAGCGGUGAAAUGCGUAGAUAUAUGGAGGAACACCGGUGGCGAAAGCGGCUCUCUGGUCUGUAACUGACGCUGAGGCUCGAAAGCGUGGGGAGCAAACAGG